CAGUCGCCACGGUAAUACAGAGGGUGCGAGCGUUAAUCGGAUUUACUGGGCGUAAAGCGUGCGUAGGCGGCUUCUUAAGUCGGAUGUGAAAUCCCUGAGCUUAACUUAGGAAUUGCAUUCGAUACUGGGAAGCUAGAGUAUGGGAGAGGAUGGUAGAAUUCCAGGUGUAGCGGUGAAAUGCGUAGAGAUCUGGAGGAAUACCGAUGGCGAAGGCAGCCAUCUGGCCUAAUACUGACGCUGAGGUACGAAAGCAUGGGGAGCAAACAGGAUUAGAUACCCGAGUAGUCCCUGUCUCUUAUAC
rnacentral:rRNA from 1 species